rnacentral:lncRNA from 1 species
AUGGCAGCAACUGCCGAGAGCCGGGGGACAGCCCUGCAAGCCCCCGCAUCCAUUCUGGCGCCUCUGCAGGCCAGACCCCAGCAAGACAACAGGCCAACCCCAAGCCAUGCUGCAGCCAGGAGCCAAAGACGCAGGGUGCAGCUGAGGGUACAAAGGCACUACGCCCCUCCCAGCAGUGUGGCAACACCUGCAAGGACAGCCCAGGUGCCGGCCACCAAGACUGAAAAGAUGCCAGCAACACGGAGACGAAAAGAUGGCCAUGCUCGAGAGGACACAAGAGCUGCUGCUGGGAUCUCCAAGCCAGGAGGGAGGCAGCAGAAGGAAGCCACCUGGAACCUUCACUGGGACCCAGACGCAGCCCACCAGCAGGGGCCUGGCUCACCCCACAGCACUGGCAGAGAUUCUGCCAGAGAGGCAGUCAGCCCCGCACAGAGCGCAUCUCUUGCCAUGUCAGGGCCAACCAAUGCUGAGCCAGCAGAUUCUGCGCAGGUUGCAGGUCCUGCCAGUGAGGGGGACAAGAAUCCUAUGGGUGCAUCAGCACCCAGAGAUGCUAAAUCGCCUUCUCCCCUGGCUGCUGCUAUGCCCGGCCCUUCCACAAGCAGCCAGAAAAGACCGCCGACAUUGAAAGACCGGGUCAAGAUCAACUGGGAUAUCUAUGGGUGCUCCUCCUUUCGGCCAGCAAUGCAGAUCAUUCCGAGCGGGGAGAGGGAAGGCUGCCAGUUGUCCCGGUGGAACGAGUCCUGGCCGAGCAGCGUGAAGGUUCCGAGGUUGCGAAGGAUCUGGGCAGCAGACGACGGUGACACAGCUGACAGCACUGCAGCCAGUGCAUCGGGCAGGCAGGAGGUGGCAGUGAGGACUGCGGGCCAGCGCCUUCCCUACUUUUGCUCCACAACGAGUAAGACCAUUCUGCAGGACAUUCAGGAAGAGUGGGAAGAGAGCCCCAGGAUAGAAGCUGUGGCAGAAGCAGACGACGUCCUGCCCAGCACGUCUCCUGCCCCAUCUGGUGAGGCAGAUGCCAGGCCUUCAGCUGCUCCUAUGGCCGCAGUUCCUGGGCCCGAGGAGCUCCCCCCGGCCUGCAUGCCCAAAGAGGGAAAAGCUUCAGCCUCUCCCCUGGCUGCUGCUGUGCCCGGCCCUUCCACAAGCAGCCAGAAAAGACCGCCGACAUUGAAAGACCGGGUCAAGAUCAACUGGGAUAUCUAUGGGUGCUCCUCCUUUCAGCCAGCAAUGCAGAUCAUUCCGAGCGGGGAGAGGGAAGGCUGCCAGUUGUCCCGGUGGAACGAGUCCUGGCCGAGCAGCGUGAAGGUUCCGAGGUUGCGAAGGAUCUGGGCAGCAGACGACGGUGACACAGCUGACAGCACUGCAGCCAGUGCAUCGGGCAGGCAGGAGGUGGCAGUGAGGACUGCGGGCCAGCGCCUUCCCUACUUUUGCUCCACAACGAGUAAGACCAUUCUGCAGGACAUUCAGGAAGAGUGGGAAGAGAGCCCCAGGAUAGAAGCUGUGGCAGAAGCAGACGACGUCCUGCCCAGCACGUCUCCUGCCCCAUCUGGUGAGGCAGAUGCCAGGCCUUCAGCUGCUCCUAUGGCCGCAGUUCCUGGGCCCGAGGAGCUCCCCCCUGCCUGCAUGCCCAAAGAGGGAAAAGCUUCAGCCUCUCCCCUGGCUGCGCACCCUGUGUUGGAGGCCAGGACAGCACCUCUCACCCCAUCAGCAUGUGAGGAAGAAGAAGCAGCACCUUCUCCCCUGGCUGGGGGCCUUCUGCAAGAGGUAAGCAAGGUAUACCUUCCUCGUCCCACAGUCAUGGAAGCCACAGACCCCUGUCGGUGGGCCUCGAGGCCCCUCAUCCCUUAUCCAUCUGGCAUCGGGGGCAUCGGGGCCCGGAGCAUGGCCAAACAGUGGCCCACAGGGCUGUGGUUUUCUCUCCCCAUGCAGGUUUCCUCCGAGCAUAGAAGCAGUGCACAGUGUUCCUCACACUUCCAAUCGGUGCCAGAGGAAGGGCCAGGGCAGCGAUCCUCUUGGGAGUCAUCAUGCGGCACUUGAAGGGCAAGCAGGCGAUCGGGCCCAGCCAGCAUGGGUUUAUGGAAGGCAGGUCCUGCUUGACGAACCUGAUCUCCUUCUACGACAAAGUGACGCGCUGGGUGGAUGAGGGAAAGGCUGUGGAUGUGGUCUACCUUGACUUCAGCAAGGCUUUUGACACCGUCUCCCACAGCAUUCUCCUCAAGAAACUGGCUGCUCUUGGCUUGGACUGGCGCACGCUUCGUUGGGUUAGAAACUGGCUGGAUAGCCGGGCCCAAAGAGUUGUGGUGAAUGGAGCCAAGUCCAGUUGGAGGCCAGUCACUAGUGGCGUCCCCCAGGGCUCGGUGCUGGGGCCGGUCCUCUUUAACAUCUUCAUCAAUGAUCUGGAUGAUGGCAUUGAGUGCACCCUCAGUAAGUUUGCAGAUGACACCAAGCUAGGUGCGUGUGUCGAUCUGCUCGAGGGUAGGAAGGCUCUGCAGGAGGAUCUGGAUAGGCUGCACCGAUGGGCUGAGGUCAACUGUAUGAAGUUCAACAAGGCCAAGUGCCGGGUCCUGCACCUGGGGCGCAAUAACCCCAAGCAGAACUACAGGCUGGGAGAGGAAUGGUUGGAGAGCUGCCAGGCAGAGAAGGACCUGGGAGUGAUGGUGGACAGUCGGCUGAAUAUGAGCCAGCAGUGUGCUCAGGUGGCCAAGAAGGCCAACGGCAUCCUGGCUUGUAUCAGAAACACUGUGACCAGCAGGGCUAGGGAGGUGAUCGUCCCCCUGUACUCGGCUCUGGUGAGGCCGCACCUCGAGUACUGUGUUCAGUUUUGGGCCCCUCGCUACAAGAAGGACAUCGAGGUGCUUGAGCGGGUCCAAAGAAGGGCGACGAAGCUGGUGAGGGGCCUGGAGAGCAAGUCCUAUGAGGAGCGGCUGAAAGAGCUGGGCUUGUUCAGCCUAGAGAAGAGGAGGCUCAGGGGUGACCUUAUUGCUCUGUAUAAGUACAUUAAAGGAGGCUGUAGAGAGGUGGGGGUUGGCCUGUUCUCCCACGUGCCUGGUGACAGGACGAGGGGGAAUGGGCUAAAGUUACGCCAGGGGAGUUUUAGGUUAGAUGUUAGGAAGAAUUUCUUUACUGAAAGGGUUGUGAGGCACUGGAACGGGCUGCCCAGGGAGGUGGUGGAGUCACCAUCCCUGGAAGUCUUCAAAAGACGUUUAGAUGUAGAGCUUAGGGAUAUGGUUUAGUGGGGACUGUUAGUGUUAGGUUAGAGGUUGGACUCGAUGAUCUUGAGGUCUCUUCCAACCUAGAAAUUCUGUGAUUCUGUGUGAUUCUGUGAUUCCAAAACUUUUGUCAUGAAGACUGGUUUCCCAUGUACAUGAGAGACGCAUAAAGAAAUCGCAACUUCUUUUCACCAAAGUCUGAGUUGUUGUGAUAUCAUUGUGGUGAAAACACGCGCUUUUCACCAAAGUAACAUAAUUUAGGUAAACUUGGUCAAACUAAGCCCCUUUGGAGAUAUUGGAUGGCAGGCCUUACCAAAUGCCGGACAAAGGAGAAGAGCUAACACAUUUAGGAAACCAGUAUUUGCAACAACAUCUUACAGUUUGGUGCAAGCAACUAGAACAAAUCAAGAAGAAUGUUUUAGGCACUAGACCUUUUAUUUGCCUCCCAAGGGGAAGGAUGCACUUGAAUCAAUCUUAGUUGCUCUAUGUGUGUAAAUGAGGCAGGAGGAAUUGAGACUGAGCACGAAAACAUUUGGGGAAAGACUAAGGUAAUAAGGUGAUUAGUCUAAGGUGAUUACGUAAGGUAAUUCAAGAUGACCCCUCCUGGUGUCAUUGCCUAAACAUUGCCUAAAACUUUGAUGUAUCUCAGAGAUAGUUACUUACUUCAGCUGACAACACUUUUCAGUUACCUUCUUUCAGUUUCUCAUCCACAUUAUUUCUUCUUCUGAGUAGCUGAUCCCUUUCCUUCUGAAGAACCUGAAUUUUUUCCAGAAUGUCUGUCUUAUCUUCAGUAGUGCUGUCCUGAAGCUGCAUACCUUUAUCACACAAUUCCUGGUCCAGCAUACUUAAGCGGUAGACAAUUUCAUACUAUCUUUGUUUAAAGCCUUAAAAAAAAAAAAAAAAGAGAGAGAGAGAGAAAGAAAUAAGAGGAAGAAUGAAAGAAACCGUAAGUAUAAAACUCCUUCCCCAUAAACAUGUACAUGAGACUGUCGCAUCCUAAAGUGGAAGACCUGUCUACUUCUUGUAAAGGGACGCCAUUUAGGCUAAGUAGAUAGCUACCAUAAAAUUUACUAUUUAAUCAAAAGAUGAAAGAAAACAAAGAAAAGCAAUGUGCAGUUUUCUACAUAUCUUACAUGAGUUAGUCAUUACGGUGACAAUGACAUUUCAAUUUCUGUUUCUCAGUAGCCAAAGUAAAUAAUACAGAAUGUUUCUCUGCCACGUUCUCUAGUUUGCAGGCAUUGAGCAAUUUUUUAGAUAUCGUUAUUUAAUGUGCUGCAAUAACAGAACUUUGGAAGUCAGAUUUUGUUUUGUUGUUAGAAUUUCGAGGAUAUCAUGUAAAUAAAGGUUAUUACAUUCUAUUAUUCAUGUUUAAAAUGUUGAUUUGAUCAAGCCACACAAUAAUGUAAUGGCAGCGCUACAAAUACAAGUUGCAUGGCUUAAACCUCUUCUGUUAUCCGUCUGCCCUCCUCCCAUAGUCUUUUCAGGCAGCUCUACAAUUGUGUUAAGUUUCUUUCCUUCCUUCCUUCCUUCCUUCCUUCCUUCCUUCCUUCCUUCCUUCCUUCUUUCUUUCUUUCUUUCUUUCCUUCCUUCUUUCUUUCUUUCUUUCCUUCUUUCUUUCUUUCUUUCCUUCUUUCUUUCUUUCUUUCUUUCUUUCUUUCUUUCUUUCUUUCUUUGUUUCUCUCUUCUCUCUUUCUUUCUUUCUUUCUUUUUCUUUCUUUCUUUUUCUCUCUUUCUUUCUUUCUUGCUUGCUUUCUUGCUUGCUUUCUUGCUUGCUUUCUUUUUUAUUUUUCUUAAAUCACCUGGCUAGAUCUCAGUUUCUUGAUUUCUACGUGGCUUUUCUCUUGCAAUAAUGCUUCUUUUUUAGCUACAAUGGCUUCUCUUUUCUUUAAAUCUUCUUCUAGUUCCGCUAACUGUUGGUGCUGUUGAAGAAUUCUUUCCAUUUCUUCAUCCAGCCAUUUCUUUUGCUCUUCUAAUUUCUACAAUUUAAACAGAGAUCCAGAGAGCAUGACUAUGUUUUUCCUCUUUUAGAGUAACUGAUAAAACGUGAGAAAUCAACAUUUCAAUUCUUAACAUUAAUUGUUCAACAGAAUCCUGAUUCAGGAUACUACAGAAAUAG